rnacentral:tRNA from 4 species
GCCCGGAUAGCUCAGUUGGUAGAGCAGUGGACUGAAAAUCCGCGUGUCGGUGGUUCGAAUCCGCCUCCGGGCACCA